AGACAGAAAUCAGUUUCUACUCGGUGUGAUAAUAAAUUACUUUUUCGGAAUUACAAGGUUUUCAUUCGAAUACCUGGUGUAUAUCACGUGGUUCUUUAGAACCGGUCUCGUUAGCAAGGCUAUAUAAGAGGUGAAUAGUGGUUUAAAUACCAGUUUAGGACGACACGUAGAGCACCAUAAAGUUUAAAUCUCAGAUACAGAACGAAGUGGCGUAGGGCGUGGUUCAUCGACAUGUUUAGCCAUUGUAGAUGAUAUGAAAUCACAGAAAAUAGAGUUGGAGAGAGAUUUGACAGUGUGGAAAGCGAGGUCAUCAAAGAAAAGCCAUCCUAGAUCUUGUUUUUAUAAGAUAAUUACAUGUUGGGGUUGGUAUCACGAUGAGUAUAAUGAAGAAGGUGAUUUUAAGAUCUCCAGAGAAGUACGGUAGAUUUUUUCUUUGCGUUUUAUGCCAAUUAAAAGUUAAAUUUCAUGCGGACUCCAUCACAAUGGAAAAGAGAAGCAUUUCAUAUUCUGAUUUGUAUUAUUGGUUAUAUUCUUCUUACGUUUAAUUCAAGCACCAUGAGGUAUUAAUCGGUGUACCAAUAAUGACAGAGUUUCAAAGAGGCACAUAUCCAAGGAAUUGAGAUGGGAUU